AAUUAAUAAAUGAAGUAUAAAAAAAUAUUGCAGGUUGCUGGAUUCGAACCACAGCCUUACCAAACCCCAAACUUAACAAUCCAGUGCCUUAACCCCUAGACAAUUAGACAUGAUGUCAUAAUUCUGUUAAAAUCUUCCUGAUAAGUCAACUAUGCAUUAUGUGAGAUAUGAGGAAGUUUUUAAACGUAAAAUGAGCUUGGUAGCGUAGUGGUUAAGGUACUAUUAUUUGGUUGUCAGUGUGUUUAAUAUUAAAUGUUCUGUGUUCGAAUCCCCAUGUAUGCUAUGUUUUCAGAUAUCGCCAGUGGCAGCAGCAGCACCAGCACAGUAAUAUAACCUGUAAUUAGAUGUUGGUUUGUUGUGGGGCGGAACCCCUAGAAAAUUUCACUUAAUAUAGAACACUCUUUUGUAUUUUUUUCCAUUUUGUAUCAUUUGCUGUGGGGGGGAAACCCUAAAAAACCCAAAGAAUUUCCAAAAAACAAAACAAAAAACUCUUUUGAGUAGAAGCAGACAGGAAAAGAAUCACAUUAAUUUUUAAAAUCUUUCAGAAUAAGGAAAACAAAUGAGCUUGAAGUAAUUAGUAACAAACUAAUAAAUCAUUUUGUGGGUCUGUUUACAAGCGGUCUCAGGCUGGAUGUGGUGCACUGACACACUGCUCUAGAUAUUCAGAGUAUAUUAACUCAGAAUGAAGGAUUUGGCUACUGGGGUGCAGCACCGGAAAGGAGUAGCACAAUAACUAGUAGGAAACUACAUAACUUCCUACAGUUACGUGUGCUUACGUUGCUAGUAAUCUUGUAACAGAAGCAGAAAAUAACGUUAUAGAAUGGUAGGCAUACGGGAAACAAUUUCUACCAGGUAAAGGAGUUCCAACUUGUCAAAAUUGGACAUCCACCUCAUGUGUGAGACAGUCAAGUAUUUCUUGCGUUGCUUGUGUGAGCCUCUGGUGACCAAGAUUUUGUAAAUGCUGCUGAGAACGCUCAUCCACAAGCUAGAAAUCACCGAAAAGAGACACAAGAUAUAGAUUGCGGAACGAAACCUUGUAGACACCCUGUACGACCUCAUACUUCUGUCUGUGUUUGCUUCUUCUUGGCCCAUAACCUGUUCUUUACUUCCACCCCCACUACAUUCAUUUAAUUACUACGUCAGUGGUUCUUCGAGAAAAGAACGUCCUUUCACUUUGUUUCCGGCGUUGCUGUGAAGAGGUACUGCGUGGAGAAGAGAGGAACAUACCCUAACAAGAAGUGGAAUUCAGAUGAUUUCUCCAAGACAAUACAAGGCAGGUGGUCCAUAGAAAAUACUUCACAAAAGUAGAUUCAUAAUUUUCAGUAGGAAAUAGAACCUGGAAAGUGAUACGAUCCAAAACUUAAAUGUUAAAAAGUUGCUUGAAGCAUUAUAAUUCAUGUUAUGUAAGACUCAAGUAAUCCAUCAGCAUCCCAUCCCAAACCCAACUCUGAUGUUCACACCAGGGGGAGGGGGGAAACAUCCCUAGAGAUAACUAACAGGGGGCUCUGCUCCACCAAAGAAAUUCUGCUGUUGGGUACACUGCAGUGAGGUGAUGACAAGUGUCGCAAAAGCCCAAAUAUUGUACAGCAGUGAUAUGAAGUACAGUACUUGCAAGAGUAUGAAGUUUGAGAAGGUAACAGUAUUAAGCUUUCUAUAGACUUCAAAGAAGCCAGGAUUAAUAUUGGUUUUCUACAUGCUUUAGUCCCCUCCAAAAUCCAACCCUUGGCGUCCAUGUCGCGGAGGGGGGUAACGUCCUCAGACGGCUAACAGGGCUCUGGUCCACCGAAGCCAAGGUGUGAGGUAUCAUGCUGAGGGCUGCAUGGCACAAAUCAUCCCUUCAGGGCACUGGGAUCCAGCAUACCACCUUAGUUUGCUCUCAGUAUCAGCCAGCCUGGGAAAGUUUAAAAGACAACCGGAGGCAGAAGCCCACCAGUUGUCAGAAAACUACCAGAAAAGUUCUGUGAUAUGGAGUCUCCAUUUUAAAGCUGGUCAUUCUCAGCAGGGAGUCAGUAUUUCUGGCAUACCACCACAGAGAGCUGGCAUUUGCAGCAGACCCAUGGAAGAAUGUGAUAAAGCCUUGUGGCCUUCUGGACGACAGGCAACAUUUGGCACAGACUGCGUGUCUGGAAUGCCAGAGAAAGCCAAGAUGGUACCAGGAGCAUAUGAAAACUGGGGUACAUGACACUACCUAAGUUUAAGGAGGCUCUGACCAGGGUGCUUACAAGGCCCAGGUCAAAGAGCAAUACCCCAAUUAAAGGGGAUAAUCCUCUAGAUAGACCCAGGGUCUCAGAGACCAGGGGUCUACAGGGAGGCCACCAAUGAAAGCUCUUUAAUGAAGAGCUUUUGAGGAUUUUGACAUUUGUCAGUCAUUUAGCAAAAUCGAAGGAUUAUCAUGAGAUCUCGCCAGGUAGGGUGCUGUGCUGUGCUUUGAUGUGGCUGGGGGCUACUGGUAGGUUAGAAGAAAAGGAAGCACAAAAGAUCAGUUAAUGGUCACUUGAAGCCCAUGCCCAUUUAUUUACAUUAUAUUACAUGCUUCAGUCCACAUGCGCCAUUGUUUGCUUUCUUUAAUUACUAAUUAUUGUGCUUUUCUCCAACUGAAAAUAUGUGUUCUGCUGCUGUGUAUGUUUUUUAUGCAAUUCUGUUGUUUAUGCAUGCAGCCUAUGUGACGUUAUGAAUUGGCCUGUUUGUCGAUUGAUACAUGCUCAUAUUGCAUUUCUUUGUUAUGUACUCCCACAUUAUUGAAAUGUGACAGAAUACUUUAAACAUGCUCUUAAUUAUAGAUAAUUCCACUUGUAUGUGUUGUGUGUACGCUGCAUAGCAUUUUACAUGACAUUUUAUUUGUUUUUUUCCCAAGUGCUGUGCUCUUCUAUAGCUGUUAAAGUACAGAUAAUUAUUGAAGGUUAUGUUUGUACACAUCUUAUUUAUGCCAUUGAGUUAAUAUGUACGGUCUACAUGUGAUGCUGUUUUAAUUUAAUUUUUUUUAAUUGUCCUAUCUGUUGCACUGAUGUAUGUGUUCAUAUUGAAUUUUUGUCAUGUUUGUUCACUGUUGAAUUGUAUAAAAUUGAUUAAACUUCCUGUUAAUUGUUCAUAAAAUACAAUUUUCUAUGUGUCCAUUGCAGAUAAAUAAUUUGUACGACAUCUGCCUGUUGAUAAAUUUCCAUCUGCUGGGAAGAGGCAACCAAUCUGAAUUGAGAGGGAAAUGAGCAUGCCUGGUGGAAUACGAAAUGGGUUGAUUUCUGUGAUGAGUGUAAUUUUUGUUCCAGAAUGUUAUGCAGGAGCUUUGAAGUUUCAGGGAGCCAUGAGAUACUGGAGAAGAGAGGUUACAGUACUUGUUACUAACAGGCAUCAAAGAAUCCUGAUCUAAUUCUUGUGUUCAUGUGUUUCAGUGCAAACAUCCCAUGGGGCCAUUAUCCUUUGCUUUCUGAGAAUUCUGUGUUCUGCUGUUGUGUACAUAAAUAUGUAUUCAAAUUUGUUGUAUAUUUUGUUGCAUGUAUUGUUUAUUUAACUGUGUUCUUUUUACGUGUAUUGUCGUUUAAAUUCCAAUAUUUUGAUAUGGUAUAUUUAUUGUAUGUUCAUAUUGCAUUUCUUGCUUCUUUAAUUCCCUGUUAAUUAAAUAUGGUACAGAGUAAAAUUGAUAUUAAUUAUAUUCUUACUAUGAAAAUGUUUCCUUAUUUACAUUGAGUGUACUUCAUUUUGAUGUUUUUCUUAUUUUUUUGUGAAUUUGAUAUGCGUGUGCUGAGUCUGUUGUAUUAUUUCAUGCCAAAUGUAACACUAGUUUCAUCUUAAGGCUAAUAUCUCGAUGCACACGAGAUAUGUUUGUCUGGGAGUGUUUUAAAACUUUGAUUUCAGGAGUUUCCUCACAGGCCGGCCACAUUUAUCGGCGUUUCCAAGGCAACCAUUCUGAAGUGGCAGGAAAAUGAGCAUGCCUGGUGGAAUACGAAAUGGGUUGAUUUCUGUGAUGAGUGUAAUUUUUGUUCCAGAAUGUUAUGCAGGAUCUUUGAAGUUUCAGGGAGCCAUGAAAUACUAGAGAAGAGAGGUUACAGUACUUGUUACUAACAGGCGUCAAAAAAUCCUGAUCUAAUUCUUGUGUUCAUGUGUUUCAGUGCAAACAUGCCAUUGGGCCAUUAUCAUUUGCUUUCUGGGAAUUCUGUGUUCUGCUGUUGUGUACAUAAAUAUGUAUUCAAAUUUGUUGUACGUCUUAUUUAUUGUGCUGUUAUUUGUACACUUAUUAUAUCAAUUCUAAUAUCUUGUUAUGGUUUAUUCGUUGUAUGUUCGUAUUGCAUUUCUUGCUUCUCUAAUUCCCCAUUAAUUGUGAUACAAAGUAAAAUUAAUUAAAAUUGACAUUAAUUAUAUUCUUACAAUGCAAAUGCUUGGCUUAUUUAUAUUACUUGUAUAUGUUGAGUGUACUUCAUUUCGAUGUUUUUCCUCCUUAGUUGUGAAUUUGAUAUGUGUGUGCUGAUUCUGUUGUAUUAUUUCAUGCCAAUUAUAACACUAGUUUCAUCUUAAGGCUAGUAUCUCGAUGCACACGAGAUAUGUUUGUCUGGGAGUGUUUUAAAACCUUGAUUUCAGGAGUUCCCUCAUAGGCCGGUCACAUUUAUUGGCAUUUCCAAGGCAACCUGUCUGAAGUGGCAGGAAAAUGAGCAUGCCUGGUGGAAUACGAAGUGGGUUGAUUUCUGUGACGAGUGUAAUUUUUGUUCCAGAAUGUUAUGCAGGAGCUUUGAUGUUUCAGGGAGCCAUGAGAUACUGGAGAAGAGAGGUUACAGUACUUGUUACUAACAGGCGUCAAAGAAUCCUGAUCUAAUUCUUGUGUUCGUGUGUUUCAGUGCAAACAUCCUUUGCUUUCUGGGAAUUCUGUGUUCUGCUGUUGUGUACAUAAAUAUGUAUUCAAAUUUGUUGUAUGUAUUGCUUAUUUAACUGUGUACUUUUUUUAAUGUAUUGUUGUUUAUAUUCCAAUAUUUUGAUAUGGUAUAUUCAUUGCAUGUUCAUAUUGCAUUUCUUGCUUCUGUAAUUCCGUGUUAAUUAAAUGUGAUAGAGAGUAAAAUUGAUAUUAAUUAUAUUCUUACUAUGAAAAUGUUCCCUUAUUUACAUUGAGUGUACUACAUUUUGAUGUUGUCUUGUUAUUUGUAAUUUUUGUGCAUUUUAUAUUUUUUGUGCUCCAAGCUGUCAUAGUAAAGCUGCUGUAUUGACACACACAGGACAUAUUCUUUGCUUGGGGCUGUUUUGAAAGUAUUUCAGGGCUUCCGACAUCAGGCCAUGUUGAUGGGUAUUUGCGAAUGAUGGUGGGGCCUGUCUGCUAGGAAGAGGCAAUCAAUCAGAAAUGACUGGUGAGUGUGCAUA